rnacentral:rRNA from 1 species
AGAGUUUGAUCCUGGCUCAGAGUGAACGCUGGCGGCAGGCCUAAUACAUGCAAGUCGAACGGCAGCACGGCAGAGCUUGCUCUGUGGGUGGCGAGUGGCGGACGGGUGAGGAAUACAUGGGAAUCUGCCCAGUCGUGGGGGAUAACGUAGGGAAACUUACGCUAAUACCGCAUGCGCCCUUCGGGGGAAAGCCGGGGACCUUCGGGCCUGGCGCGAUUGGAUGAGCCCAUGUCGGAUUAACUAGUUGGCGGGGUAAUGGCCCACCAAGGCGACGAUCCGUAGCUGGUCUGAGAGGAUGAUCAGCCACACUGGAACUGAGACACGGUCCAGACUCCUACGGGAGGCAGCAGUAGGGAAUAUUGGACAAUGGGCGCAAGCCUGAUCCAGCCAUGCCGCGUGAGUGAAGAAGGCCCUCGGGUUGUAAAGCUCUUUUGUCCGGAAAGAAAAGCGCCGGGUUAAUACCCUGGUGUCCUGACGGUACCGGAAGAAUAAGCACCGGCUAACUUCGUG